AUUUCAUUUUAUUUUUUGCAGUGUUUUAUGUAGGAGAUGCUACAAAUUAAAAAAAGCAGCAUUACUUUUUAGGAACGAAGGUCUUUUUAGCUGCUCGUAGAAACUCACAGACCAUCUUCAUGUUCAUGUUCUGAAUUUUUGAGCUUUUCUUUGAGGCGUGAAGACUUUUAAUCAGCCCCGUCUGUGGGCGUGAGUCCCAAGCGCUCGUUUCACUUUCGUUUGAGCCAACCACAUCCUGUAGCUAGCAGGUGAAGCACAUCUCCUUCAGUCUGUUCGUUGACCAGUCAUCUGUGUGUUUGUGUUGUUUCAGGUAUGACCGGAGAGUCCAGUCCUGCUGCAGUCCUGACUGUCUUCUCAGUCGCUUCGCUCAGUCUGCUCUCACUUCUGUGUCUGCGAUGCAAAAAGAAGUCCAAGAUCAUCCAGGCUGAGUCUCAAAUAUACGACCAACAGAUAUUUCAACGUGGAGGCAGUAAAUUUGCAGUGAUGCGAUCAAAAACAGUCACCAGAAACAAUCAGACGUGUUCAGCCACAGUUGAAACUUGUGAAGGAUCUGGUUUUGAAGACGGUAAGAUUCUCAUGAUUUAUUCUGUGUUUUAUAAAGAAGUUUUAUUAUCAGACGUUGACAGAGUGAUGUAUUGCAGGUCAAACWGAGGAACAGGCAGAUUACCAAAAUGUUACAGGUCCAGUAAUAAGCUCAAGCCUGGAGCAUGACUACGUAGCUCCAAUCGCUGUGUUUCUGUAUGAGAAUGAGAAGAACGCGACACCUGAAGCGGAGCAGAUUCCUGGGAUUUAUGGAAACGUUUUCCCGUCUCUGUCGAUUGAAGAUGAUGAUUACGAAAACGCUGCGUUCCUGGAAGAACAAAUGGAUGAUGAGCCGGAUUACGUGAACGAAAACGGAGACUGCGCCUGAACGCACCACCACCUACAGAUCUGUUUACUUUAUUUGUUUUAAAAGUUUUGUUAACAUUUUUGAAACUUAUGAUCAGCUGUGUGUAAAUAUUUAAGCUUGUAAAAAUCAAGGCUGCCACCUGCUGGUGAAAUAAAUCAAUUUAAUUCA